AUGUUUAGAACUUUCUUUGAGAAUGUCGGAAUCAAAAUAGCCUGCAGAGACCCAACCAAGAUUCCUUUUGAGAGAUUGAUUGAGAUGAAGAAAAAACUGUUUCUACUUGGUUUUACUGUGGAAGGUUUUGAGCAAGCGGGAGGUGUUGACUCUGUCAUUGACUUGGAUGAGGAUGAGGAUGGUAAUGAGGAGGAUGAGGGUGUUGAGGAAGAACAGACUGAAAAAGAGAAUGGAUCUCAAGAGGAGCAUGCUUCUGAAGGAUCAGGUGAAGAUGAUCAGGCAAUUGAUGAACUAGACAAAGCUAAUUUUACAACUAAACAGUUAACUUCAAACAAGUCUGGUAGUCAAAAGGGGGUGGUUACACCUAUGGGAUAUAGAAAUGAUACUGAUCAAGAGGAGUUCAUCAUGAAGUGUGCUUUGGCUUCUGUUGAUUCUGAGGAUUCAUCAUCUGCUGGGCACACUGGCUUUGCUGGUAUCCUCAAAGAACAAAACCACAUUUCUGAUGGGAAGGAAAAGAAAGAGGGGAAAAUGAGGAUUCCAGAAACUCCACUUGGGGAAAUUGCUGCUUACAUAACGCCUGAGAAGAAAACUGGUAGUAUGGAAUACUGUGAGGAUCUAUUAAGAUCGGUGGAUGUUUCUGACUCUGAAAAUGAGGAUUCAAAGGAAGAAGAGUUGGGGGUUCUCCCUCUUGAGGCGGUCCAAACCUUACAAAGUGAGUCUUGGAAGAGAUCACUGAUGGAAUCGCUUAACCAAACCCAAAAUGAUGAGAAUAUCCAUGAGAAGAAACCUAAAUGGGGUCCUGUGCUAGCUAAAAGGCCUAAUACUAGAGGGCAUGGCAAUGUGAACAUUAUGGAGAAAGCGGCUGCAUAUAAAAGGAAGCAGAACUUGGAGAUCCCACAAACAUUCAAAGGGGACAAGAUGGCGAAGUAUACGCUGUGUCCUAGACCUGUUGGGGGCAACGAUCAGGCGGUGGAAAAUCUUAUGCUCAGAGGCUCAGGGUGCGCUUCUUCUCCGGUGUUUAAGACUUUUGGAUCAUCGAAGGAAGGAAUUGCUUAG
rnacentral:rRNA from 1 species